GGCGAACGCUGGCGGCGUGCUUAACACAUGCAAGUCGAACGGUGAAGCGCCUUCCUUUUUGGUGGGUGUGGAUGAGUGGCGAACGGGUGAGUAACACGUGAGUAACCUGCCCCCUUCUUCUGGAUAACCGCAUGAAAGUGUGGCUAAUACGGGAUAUUCUGGGUCUGUCGCAUGAUGGGUCUGGGUAAGAUAUUGCUUCGGUGGGGGAUGGGCUCGCGGCCUAUCAGCUUGUUGGUGGGGUGAUGGCCUACCAAGGCGGUGACGGGUAGCCGGCCUGAGAGGGUGGACGGUCACACUGGGACUGAGACACGGACAAGACUACGACGGGAGGCAGCAGGGGGGGAUAUUGCACAAUGGGCGCAAGCCUGAUGCAGCGACGCCGCGUGAGAGAUGGAGGCCGGCGGGUUGUGAACCUCUUUAGCCAGUGAAGCAGGCCUGCCUCGUUUGUGGGUGGGUUGACGGUAGCGGGAGAAGAAGCGCCGGCUAACUACGUG
rnacentral:rRNA from 1 species